AUAGGCUUUCUAUUUUCGUAAUAAAAAUUUCUGUUCUUAUCAGCUUAAUAUCUGAUAUGUUAAGCAAUGUCUAACUCGUAUAUUAUACUGAUUUUUGGACCUUGGUCAUGGGAUUGAAACUUGCUUCACCCUGGCCACGGGUUGUCUUGGUAUUGCACAACAUCCGAGUAUUUUUAUUUUCA
rnacentral:snRNA from 1 species